GCCAGGUGCAGUGGUGCAUGCCUAUAAUCCCAGCAGCUCAGGAGGCUGAGGCAGGAGGAUCACGAGUUCAAAGCCAGUCUCAGCAAAAGCAAGGCACUAAGCAACACUAAGUGAGACCCUGUCUCUA
rnacentral:sRNA from 1 species